rnacentral:lncRNA from 1 species
GCACCGAGCGCAUGGAAAGGCAGCACCUGGGAGCUCCAGUUACCAAAAUCUCCAAAAGACCACGAGCGAGGGAGUGCACAGAAUAUUCCGUAAUCACAGAAUCACAGAUUGGCAGGGAGAAGUGGUGAUCCUGUGUAUCACACUCAGUUCCAUUUGCCUUCUGCCAUCAGGGAAAGGGUGCUUGGCUUUUCUCUCUUCCCAAGUUCUUCAGUGUUUACCUGAAAGCCCCACAGUUAAAUCAGAUUUUCUCAUU